rnacentral:rRNA from 1 species
UACGUAGGUGGCAAGCGUUGUCCGGAAUUAUUGGGCGUAAAGCGCGCGCAGGCGGUCCUUUAAGUCUGAUGUGAAGGCCCUCGGCUCAACCGAGGAGGGUCAUUGGAAACUGGAGGACUUGAGUGCAGAAGAGGAAAGUGGAAUUCCAAGUGUAGCGGUGAAAUGCGUAGAGAUUUGGAGGAACACCAGUGGCGAAGGCGACUUUCUGGUCUGUAACUGACGCUGAGGCGCGAAAGCGUGGGGAGCAAACAGG